GGGGUGCAUAGCAAAUCCCUUGACUUAGAGACAGGCUGAGGAUGCGUCACACAUUAGGAGGAAAUGAGUAAGAAGGAAGAAGGAACAUCUGGACUAGCCAGGAAAAUGAACUGUCAUCAUUACAAUUUGGAUGCUAUGUCCACAGCCAAGACUGGUGUUACUGGCCCCAUCCUUGUGCUUGUUGGAUAUGGAUCUCAAAACUGCAAAGCUUGGUGACUGGACACUACUAACACUAAAUAAUGAGGGAUCUUAUGGAAGGAAUCCAGACUACGUUUUGGAGCACAGAGAGUAUGAAGAAACCUGAACGUGAAGCCUGCAGGUACCAAAAGGGAUGCAGCCCCAGAGGCCACUCUUCCCUUUUGUGCUAUCGAGAACAUAUCUACAUGUAGAGUACUGACAGCUACUACAUUGUCCAUGAAUGAGAUUAAUCCUCACACCUUUCCUGGAAACUAGGAGUGUGCUCCUUGGUCUACAUACAAGACUUCAGUGAAAAUCAAGCCACCUGUUAAUUUUUUGAAUUAUCUAUUAAGUUGGUGUACUUUUGGCUUCAGAACAUUCAGCAAAGUGAACAUCAUGGUGUUAGGAGCACAAAGCAAGGGAACCCUGACAUGGUGGGCAGGAAGCAGAGAGUACAACAGAAGGGAUCAAGAAUAAAACAGUGUCAAGGGCCCA
rnacentral:lncRNA from 1 species